UACAGAGGGUGCAAGCGUUACUCGGAAUUACUGGGCGUAAAGCGUGCGUAGGUGGUUUGUUAAGUCUGUUGUGAAAGCCCCGGGCUCAACCUGGGAAUGGCAAUGGAUACUGGCAGGCUAGAGUGCGGUAGAGGGUAGUGGAAUUCCCGGUGUAGCGGUGAAAUGCGUAGAGAUCGGGAGGAACACCAGUGGCGAAGGCGGCUACCUGGACCAGCACUGACACUGAGGCACGAAAGCGUGGGGAGCAAACAGG
rnacentral:rRNA from 1 species